AGAUUGAACGCUGGCGGCAUGCCUUACACAUGCAAGUCGAACGGCAGCACGGGAGCAAUCCUGGUGGCGAGUGGCGAACGGGUGAGUAAUACAUCGGAACGUGCCCAAUCGUGGGGGAUAACGCAGCGAAAGCUGUGCUAAUACCGCAUAAGAUCUACGGAUGAAAGCAGGGGAUCGCAAGACCUUGCGCGAAUGGAGCGGCCGAUGGCAGAUUAGGUAGUUGGUGAGGUAAAGGCUCACCAAGCCUUCGAUCUGUAGCUGGUCUGAGAGGACGACCAGCCACACUGGGACUGAGACACGGCCCAGACUCCUACGGGAGGCAGCAGUGGGGAAUUUUGGACAAUGGGCGAAAGCCUGAUCCAGCCAUGCCGCGUGCAGGAUGAAGGCCUUCGGUUGUAAACUGCUUUGUACGAACGAAAGUCUCUUUCUAAUAAAGAGGAUACAUGAACGGUACGUAAGAAUAAGCACCGGCUAACUACGUACG
rnacentral:rRNA from 1 species